rnacentral:rRNA from 1 species
UGGGGAAUAUUGGACAAUGGGCGCAAGCCUGAUCCAGCCAUGCCGCGUGAGUGAUGAAGGCCUUAGGGUUGUAAAGCUCUUUCGCCGGUGAAGAUAAUGACGGUAACCGGAGAAGAAGCCCCGGCUAACUUCGUGCCAGCAGCCGCGGUAAUACGAAGGGGGCUAGCGUUGCUCGGAAUCACUGGGCGUAAAGCGCACGUAGGCGGAUCGUUAAGUCAGGGGUGAAAUCCUGGAGCUCAACUCCAGAACUGCCCUUGAUACUGGCGAUCUCGAGUUCGAGAGAGGUUGGUGGAACUCCGAGUGUAGAGGUGAAAUUCGUAGAUAUUCGGAAGAACACCAGUGGCGAAGGCGGCCAACUGGCUCGAUACUGACACUGAGGUGCGAAAGCGUGGGGAGCAAAACAGGAUUAGAUACCCUGGUAGUCCACGCCGUAAACGAUGGAUGCUAGCCGUUGGGGGGUUUACCUCUCAGUGGCGCAGCUAACGCCUUAAGCAUCCCGCCUGGGGAGUACGGUCGCAAGAUUAAAACUCAAAGGAAUUGACGGGGGUCAUAGCUGUUUCCU